rnacentral:lncRNA from 1 species
AUGGAAGAAAUAAAAACGCUUCACGCCAGAAAAGAAAAGGCAACUGAAGUCCGGGGAUCUCACGAAUCUCUCAUUUGCCUCUUGGCUCGGGUUUUGUUCUGUGCGGGCCAAUGUUCCAGGCUGCGGUUUCCUCUCAGGCUUCUCCCCAGGUCCCUGACCUGGGAGCAUGAAAAGGAGCCAGGACCUGGAGCUUCCGAAGGCCAGCAGGUCGCCGUCAGACCUGAAGCCAGAAAACCAGCCCCGCCACCGGCUGGUGAGUUGGGCAUCGCAGUCCAACACCACUCUCUCUGAGAAGGGAAAGGUCCUCUAUCCGUGCUGAAAUGUGACUUAGCGCAACUGAGGAAAUGAAUUUUCAACUUGAUGUAAGGUGGGGUUUUUUUGGAUUUUUUUUUCUUUUUUCUUUUUACGGCUGCACCUGCGGCACAUGGAAGUUCCCAGGCCAGGGGUGGAAUUGGGGCUGCAGCUGCCGGCCUACGCCACAGCCACAGCAACGCCAGAUCCGAGCCACAUCUUCGACCUACGCCGCAGCUUGCAGCAGUGCCCCAGGAUCCUUAACCCAUUGAGCGAGGUCAGGGAUCGAACCUGAAUCCUCACAGAGACAGUGUCGGGUCCUUAACCUGCUGAGCCACAGUGGGAACUCCUUUUUUAGAUUUUAAAAAUUGAAGUAUAGUUGAUUUACAGUUGAUUUGAUCGUUUCAGGCAUACAGCAAAGCGAUUCGCGCAAUUUUAUUUAUUAUAAAUAGCCGCUUGUGGUUAGUGGCCACUAAAUUGGACAGUCCAGGGACACCUGACCAAAUAAAACCCCAAUGGAUGCCUCA